ACACGAAGUCGGAAUCGCUAGUAAUCGCGGAUCAGCAUGCCGCGGUGAAUACGUUCCCGGGCCUUGUACACACCGCCCGUCACACCAUGGGAGGUUUGUAACGCCCAAAGUCGGUGGCCUAACCUUUAUGGAGGGAGCCGCCUAAGGCGGGACAGAUGACUGGGGUGAAGUCGUAACAAGGUAUC
rnacentral:rRNA from 1 species